GACCAUCUGCUUCCAGACCAUGGUUGAUGGUAGUUGACUACAAGAAUUGAAACCCCAGAAAACAAGACUGCAGAUAAGGGGCUGAUUAUAAUAUAAUGGUCCACCAUCCCAACCUGUGGGGAACUAUGCUGUUUUUAGCACUGAAAUUCCCACAUCCUGGGAAAUCUCUCAGUCCAGUUCAUCUGUGAAUGUCUCUUGGGAUUCCCUUUGGAAUGGUGGCAGGAAGGUGAAGUUGGUCCAGUUCCCUCCAUCUUGGCCAGAAAUGGAAGCCCCCACUAGCAGAGGAUUUUAUAGGUUGGAAAAUGUCAAAAAAUAAAUAAAUAAAGUACAAGCCAAACAACCA
rnacentral:lncRNA from 12 species